AUGUCGGGCACUCUAAGGAGACUGCCGGUGACAAACCGGAGGAAGGUGGGGAUGACGUCAAGUCAUCAUGGCCCUUACGGCCUGGGCUACACACGUGCUACAAUGGUCGGUACAAAGGGUUGCCAAGCCGCGAGGUGGAGCUAAUCCCAUAAAACCGAUCGUAGUCCGGAUCGCAGUCUGCAACUCGACUGCGUGAAGUCGGAAUCGCUAGUAAUCGUGAAUCAGAAUGUCACGGUGAAUACGUUCCCGGGCCUU
rnacentral:rRNA from 1 species